CAGUCGCCGCGGUAAAACAGAGGAUGCAAGCGUUAUCCGGAAUGAUUGGGCGUAAAGCGUCUGUAGGUGGCUUUUCAAGUCCGCCGUCAAAUCCCAGGGCUCAACCCUGGACAGGCGGUGGAGACUACCAAGCUGGAGUACGGUAGGGGCAGAGGGAAUUUCCGGUGGGGCGGUGAAAUGCGUUGAGAUCGGAAAGAACACCAACGGCGAAAGCACUCUGCUGGGCCGACACUGACACUGAGAGACGAAAGCUAGGGGAGCAAAUGGGAUUAGAUACCCGCGUAGUCCCUGUCUCUUAUAC
rnacentral:rRNA from 1 species